rnacentral:lncRNA from 1 species
AAAGUGUUAUUUGACUGGAGUGAGGUCUCAUGUCUGCUUAUGCGGUGGCUCGCUGCUCAGAACAGGGAGGAAGAGGGUAAUCUGGAAGAGUUUCCUGACCUACUCUGCUGCUGUGAUUAAACAACCACCAGGAAAUUUUGAUGACACUGUUCUCCUGAGCUCCUCCCUUUCCUCGGGGAAGAAAAGCAUUGAAACUACAAAAAUAAAGUGUUAUUUGGCUGGAGUGAGGUCUCAUGUCUGCUUAUGCGGUGGCUCGCUGCUCAGAACAGGGAACCAUUGGAGAUACUCAUUACUCUUUGAAGGCUUACAGUGGAAUGAAUUCAAAUACGACUUAUUUGAGGAAUUGAAGUUGACUUUAUGGAGCUGAUAAGAAUCUUCUUGGAGAAAAAAAGACUGGGUAUAUUUUCAAUAUGCUUUCCUUUUAAGGUCCCUCACCUGUGGAAAGUAAAGAAUGUCACUUUCUGACAGGCUCAGGAACCUCAAGUUAUGUAGGGAUCUCAAGAAGAUGGGGGAAUUCACCCAGUUCAUACAGGUGAAAUUGCUGUUGCAAAGAUUAUGAAUAUGAGAGAAGUCCAGCAUGGCUGACUUCAUCUCGUGUCUGGCCUCAGGCUGGCUGCCCUUGCUCACUCUUGGGCAUAGGCCAAGCUAGCCAUGGGAGGAAUUUAGUUUAUAGUUUAACUUUGAAGCACGGAUGAUAAUAGUCUCUCCCUAAAAUGAACCCCUUCCUUGCUCAGGGACUGAAACUACCUUUGUAUGACAAAUGAAAGCCCACAAGAUUAAGAUUAUGAGAGGGGCCUGAAUUCUGCUAAAAUGCAGGUGUAGCUGACUGAUAACAAGUCAUUGUCCCACAGCUUGCCUUUCUAUAAUCUCUUGCUUCUCAGGAGUCACAUGGCCAGAGGUCCUGAGAUUUCCAGUCCUGUGACCCCCACCCAGAGAUGGACUUAGUGCAUGAGGACCAUUUUCCACACCCCUAUGAUUUCAUCCUCAAACAAUCAGCAGCAACCAUUCCCUAGCCCCCUGCCUUCCAAAUUAUCCAUAAAAAUCCUAGCCUCUGAGUUAUUAGGGAGAUUGAUUAAUAAUCCCAGUCCUACCCCUUGGGUUGCUCUGAUUUAAUUAAACCUUCUCUACUGCAAUACCACGGACUCAGUAAAUUGGUUUUGUCUGUGCAAUGGGCAAGAAGAACAUGUUGCAUGGUUAUACAGGUACUACAAGCACAGUCUGAUGGCAAAUUAUUGGUUUUGCUUCCUGCCCUUGAUGUUUCUAAACAUCUAGUCCAAAAUUACUUGUGAAAGGUCCAGCAAAGCCAAUUUUAAAAGAGGCUAUAUGGCCAAUCACUAUUCUUUCUACACAUUAUUGCAAAUAAUCAGGCCACGGCUGGGCACGGUGGCUCAUGCCUGCAAUCCCAGCACUUUGGGAGGCUGAGGCAGGAUCACCUGAAAUCAGGAGUUCAAGACCAGCCUAGGCAACAUGAUAAAACCCUGUCUCUACUAAAAAUACAAAAUUAGCCAGGCAUGGUGGCAUGCACCUGUAAUCCCAGCUACUUGGGAGACUGAGGGAGGAGAAUCACUUGAACCUGGGAGGCAGAGAUUGCAGUGAGCUGAGAUCACACCACUGCACUCCAGCCUGGGCAAUAGAGUGAGACUUUGUCUCAAAUAAUAAUAAUAAUAAUCAGACCAAGUAUAAUGAAAUUAAAAUUUAUUUUGCAAAUAAAUUGGUCCUACUACAAUUUAUCCUUCAUAGAAAUGUGGAAACUGAAGAUAAAAAAAAUUAGGUUUCAGAAGAAAACUAUACUACACCUGUUAUUAGAUUCUAGCCCUAAACAUUGUUUUUGAGGUUUUUAUUAUUUACCUGCAAUUUGGUCUAAAUUCUGAAUUAUUUCCUGACUACAAGUAUCCAAGGAAUAAAUGGGUUUUCUUUUUCUUUAUGAUAGUUUUAGUUGGCUUCUAAUGCAACAACAAUUUUUAUUGUAAUCCUGUGUGCAUUCUAUUCCUACUAUUCAAAUUAUUAAUGUUAUAGAUCUUUCAUUGUAGUACUUCUGAAUUAACCAAAAUCACAGUAUUCUGAAGAUGAUUCUACAAAGCCUGCUGUUUCUACAAAGGCUGCUGAUGAUUUCUACAAAGCCUGCUGUAGUGUUGCUGUGGCCUCUGCUUAAAAAAGUAGAAAACACAUUGAUGCAGCAUGUUCACCCCAACCUCCCUGCCUAAAGGCUCAGGGACCAUCUUGGAAGAGGAAGGCGCGUGAGAUUGUAAGAGCCGAAUUAGGGGGAUGGAGUGUGGAGAAUAAGGACACUUCAUCUUGGAUGCUCACCUGCCAAAUUGACUUCUGAUGAAAGCCAGCUCCAGAAAUGUGCCUACAGUUACUACUUUCACCUAAACCCUGCCCUUAGUCAAAUCCUUCUCUUCUUCUAAGCAAUCAACUUCAAUUCCUUGUAUAACCCACAGUAUAAAAGGGCUUUUAUACCAUUCUAUCCUAUUGCAUGUAAGCCUUGGGUCUGGGAGGUAACAGUGUGGGAUUCCACCAUCUCAUCUCCCUGCCACCCAAACAUGCCUGCUCUUCUUUAAGCAAUAUUAAAUGUUUGUACUUCAGAAA